UACAGAGGGGGCAAGCGUUAUUCGGAAUUAUUGGGCGUAAAGGGCGCGUAGGCGGCCUGGCAAGUGGAAGGUGAAAUCCCUCGGCUUAACCGAGGAACUGCCCUCCAAACUGCUUGGCUUGAGUCCGGGAGAGGUGAGUGGAAUUCCCAGUGUAGCGGUGAAAUGCGUAGAUAUCAGGAAGAACACCCGUGGCGAAGGCGGCUCUCUGGGACGGUACUGACGCUGAGACGCGAAAGCGUGGGGAGCGAACAGG
rnacentral:rRNA from 1 species